rnacentral:rRNA from 1 species
GCCAGCGUCCAUUCAACGUUGAAUACACCGGUUCCCGUCCGAUCACCGAAGUUAAACAGCGUCGGGCGCGGUCAGUACUUGGAUGGGUGACCGCCUGGGAACAAACACCACGUGAUGUUGGCU